ACGCUGGCGGCGUGCUUAACACAUGCAAGUCGAACGCUGAAGGCCCAGCUUGCUGGGUUGGAUGAGUGGCGAACGGGUGAGUAACACGUGAGUAACCUGCCCCCUUCUUUGGGAUAACGGUCGGAAACGGCUGCUAAUACCGGGUAUUCACUGUCCUUCGCAUGGGGGGUGGUGGAAAGGUUUUUUCUGGUGGGGGAUGGGCUCGCGGCCUAUCAGCUUGUUGGUGGGGUGAUGGCUUACCAAGGCUUUGACGGGUAACCGGCCUGAGAGGGUGACCGGUCACAUUGGGACUGAGAUACGGCCCAGACUCCUACGGGAGGCAGCAGUGGGGAAUAUUGCACAAUGGGCGAAAGCCUGAUGCAGCGACGCCGCGUGAGGGAUGACGGCCUUCGGGUUGUAAACCUCUUUCGCUCAUGGUCAAGCCGCAACAGUGGUUGUGGUGAGGGCAGUGGGUAAAGAAGCACCGGCUAACUACGUGCCAGCAGCCGCGGUAAUACGUAGGGUGCGAGCGUUGUCCGGAAUUAUUGGGCGUAAAGGGCUUGUAGGCGGUUUGUCGCGUCUGCCGUGAAAUCCUCUGGCUUAACUGGGGGCGUGCGGUGGGUACGGGCAGGCUUGAGUGCGGUAGGGGAGACUGGAACUCCUGGUGUAGCGGUGGAAUGCGCAGAUAUCAGGAAGAACACCGGUGGCGAAGGCGGGUCUCUGGGCCGUUACUGACGCUGAGGAGCGAAAGCGUGGGGAGCGAACAGGAUUAGAUACCCUGGUAGUCCACGCUGUAAACGUUGGGCACUAGGUGUGGGGGCCGCCCGUGGUUUCUGCGCCGUAGCUAACGCUUUAAGUGCCCCGCCUGGGGAGUACGGCCGCAAGGCUAAAACUCAAAGGAAUUGACGGGGGCCCGCACAAGCGGCGGAGCAUGCGGAUU
rnacentral:rRNA from 1 species